rnacentral:pre_miRNA from 12 species
CAGGAAUAUAAAUUGGCCUUCUCUUCCCAGUUCUUCCAGGAGUUGGGAAAAGCUGGGUUGAGAGGGCAAAGAAAAAAGAAAA